rnacentral:rRNA from 1 species
CAGUAGCCGCGGGAAUACGGAGGGUGCAAGCGUUACUCGGAAUUACUGGGCGUAAAGCGUGCGUAGGUGGUGGUUUAAGUCCGUUGUGAAAGCCCUGGGCUCAACCUGGGAAUUGCAGUGGAUACUGGGUCACUAGAGUGUGGUAGAGGAUAGUGGAAUUUCCGGUGUAGCAGUGAAAUGCGUAGAGAUCGGAAGGAACAUCUGUGGCGAAGGCGACUAUCUGGGCCAACACUGACACUGAGGCACGAAAGCGUGGGGAGCAAACAGGAUUAGAUACCCCCGUAGUCCCUGUCUCUUAUAC